rnacentral:rRNA from 1 species
UACAGAGGUCUCAAGCGUUGUUCGGAUUCAUUGGGCGUAAAGGGCGCGUAGGCGGCGCGGUAAGUCGGGUGUGAAAUCUCGGAGCUUAACUCCGAAACUGCAUUCGAUACUGCCGUGCUUGAGGACUGGAGAGGAGACUGGAAUUUACGGUGUAGCGGUGAAAUGCGUAGAUAUCGUAAGGAAGACCAGUGGCGAAGGCGGGUCUCUGGACAGUUACUGACGCUGAGGCACGAAGGUCAGGGGAGCAAACGGG